rnacentral:rRNA from 1 species
GACGAACGCUGGCGGCGUGCCUAAUACAUGCAAGUAGAACGCAGUUGCGAACGGGUGAGUAACGCGUAGGUCACUGCCUGGUAGCGGGGGAUAACUAUUGGAAACGAUAGCUAAUACCGCAUACUACCAGAUGGACCUGCGUGGUGUUAGUUAGUUGGUGCGGUAACGGCUCACCAAGGCACCGAUACAUAGCCGACCUGAGAGGGGGAUCGGGCACACUGGGACUGAUAAACGGCCCAGACUCCUACGGGAGGCAGCAGUAGGGAAUCUUCGGCAAUGGGGGGAACCCUGACCGAGCAACGCCGCGUGAGUGAAGAAGGUUUUCGGAUCGUAAAGCUCUGUUGUUAAGGAAGCGGUACUUAACCAGAAAGGGACGGCUAACUACGUGCCAGCAGCCGCGGUAAUAC